UACGUAGGAUGCAAGCGUUGUCCGGAUUUAUUGGGUUUAAAGGGUGCGUAGGCUGCCUAUUAAGUUAGUGGUGAAAACGUUCGGCUUAACCGGAUACCCGCCAUUGAUACUGAUAGACUUGAGUGCGACAGAGGGUGUUGUAAUGUGUGGUGUAGCGGUGAAAUGCUUAGAUAUCACGCAGAACGCCAAUUGCGAAGGCAGAUGCCUAUGUCGUAACUGACGCUGAGGCACGAAAGCGUGGGGAGCAAACAGG
rnacentral:rRNA from 1 species